GCCUCCACAGCCCUUGAACCGAUCUGUGAUGGAGUUUUCACAGAUGCUGAACUCAGGGGCUGCACUUCCGUUGGGUACAGACAACCUAUGCUGGCCUGCAGGAAAAUGUCUAAUUCAGAGAGAAAGAGCUUCCUCCUUGCUCUCUGCCAAGCAGAUUUCAAGAAUGUGAUUUAAGUUGACAGAAGUGAACAUGAAAAGCCAGGGAACACAAUGGCAAAUAAAAAAAUUUCAUGAGAAGUAGAUGUAACAGACAGCUUCAAAAUACAGAAAGGUAAACGGAUCCAUCUGUCAUGUCUUCAAAGUCUUCUGACACCCAUGAACUAAAACCACAUCAGCAUAUCUAUGGUCUGGGUCCCUGGAUCAAGAAGAAUGCUAUCUCUUCUGCAGACUUAAGCUCUAGCUAUGGUGUAUGUACAGCCUUUGUAAGAACUACUGUGACUUGGUGCCUAUCCGUUACUGCAAUGUUUAAAGAUCUGUGUCACAUAGUUUCAAAUGUGGAACAAUCCUCUUGGAAUCUGAAGGUUUAUAUAGAUGAAAAAAAUAAAAUAAAAUGGAGGAAUGGAAAUAAGUAUGUUUCUUACUUCUUUCAGAAAGUUGAGGAGAAGAGGGUCUUGAUGGAAAAGCUAAAAAGACAGUGAUUCCAAGUCAAAUGACUGUAAGAUGAAUGCUAACUCCUUGCACUAGAUAGUGAUACUCCUGAUUUAUGCCACUGCAGUCAAGAAAAGAACAACAGACCUUAUAGUUUGUUCAGAAAAUCAAGGAUGGAAUUUUUCCUGACUCAGGCAUUCAACAAAUUUCAAAAGGAAAAGCAGGAAUUCAGGUUUUCAAUAAUGCCUGCUUGGACAUUUUCCUGUUAGCUUUCACGUGUACAGUGAUAACAUUGCUGUGAUCUGAGCUCGUUCUGUUUCUCUACAGUUCCAUUAUCACUCAGGCUCUUCCACUCUGUUCACACACAUCACACAAGCACCAAAAAUCCCUACUCACUGCCAUAUUCGUCUGUUUCUUGGGUAUGCUGUUGUUUCAGAGGAGCUAAACAGGUAGAAAAAUAGAGGAAUGCAGAUGUCCAGCACAGACUUGCACACAAUCUUUCAUUCAGAGAGUUGUGAGACUGUACUACUUGAUUCACCAUGUGUUUUUAAGAAAAUUAUACACAUAGAAUAUAUGUCUCAUAAAUAAGAAACAAAACAAAAGGAAAACAAAAGGAAAGAAAAUAUUAAUGGAGGGACAUUUACUGUUAUACAUACUCUUAUGCAAAAGGUCACGUUUCCUGCUGAUGUAAGCCAGAACAGUUCCAUUGCAUCUGGUUGAAGCUGUACCAAUUUAACCCAUGUAUAUUUUCCAGCCCAGUAUGUCAUGCAAGUCAAACCAUAGAACUGGAACCUUCCAAGCCUUCCCUAUUAUGUUGUUAAAUUCAUACUGCUAUUAGAAAAAAAAAAAAAAUCCUUUUAAAAAAGCUUGCAUACGCAACUUACUCACAUUGCUUUAUUUUUUUGUUGGUUCACAAAAAAAAAAAAAAAAAAAAAAAGAAAAAAGAAUGUAUUUCAAGUUGUCAUAACCUUGCAUUUAGCCAGUGAAAGAGUAAUCUUGAAAGGAGAACACUUUUUUUUUUACAAACUGGACACAUACCCUGUUUAUUUUUCUCUAAAAGUUGCACACCAUAAAGCAAGUAGGUUAUAUUUUUUGUUUGUUUCUUUUAAAACCUUCUUCAGAUAUUAUUAUACAAAAAUAUUCAUAUUCAAGUAAUAAAGAUAUUUUUUAAACAUCCAACUUUCGUAAACCUAAAGCAAAGUCACACAAAAAGGUUUUUUUUUGUUGUUUGUUUCUUUUUUUUUUUAAUCUAGACAAAGUACACCUUGUGCUUUAACAAACCUACAGUAUCAUGUGCUCAUAUACUCUUUACAAGGAUUCUAUGAUUCUGCACAAAGUCUAUAAAGUUUCCAGCUUUCCACCAUACCUGCAGACUUAAAGAAAACCUUGGUAUGUAUGCAUAUGUUAAUCUGUGGUUUAUACAGCAACAGUAAUGGACAUUUGGAAAAGGCAGUGAUUCUGAACUUGAAAAUUAAUUUAUGGAAUAACCAGAAAUAUAUGUUUGCCAGCUCUGGGCCUAGUUCUUCUCUUCUUCAUACCAAUCUGACAAUGUAUUAAUACUCCUGACUUGUGUAGAAUAAUUUCUGACUUCUGUCAACCAGAGAGCAAAUUAAGAAUGAUCUCAGAGCUCAAGAUGGUACUUUCUUAUUUCCAUCAAUGCAAAACUUUGUAAAGUUGGUGAGUAUAACUUUAUACCUGUAAUGUACAUACAUAUAUUUAGCAGGAGAUACAGAGCACUUCAUCUACUGUUCCCAGGAUGAUGGAAGGCCAACUGAGAGCUUUUGGAAUAAAGUGCUUUCCAGCUAUUUGCUUUGAAUAGUGCACUCUCAAGAAGAGACUGUUAUGUGAGUUCUGUGUUGCACUGUGCUUAUGUAGAACCAGCUCCUCCUGAGCUAAAUAAAUUAAGAAAGCUAAAUCCACUGAACAAAUUGCUUCUAUUAAAAAGAUGCUGCACUUACAGUAGAAUCAAGUAUUUCUCUACAGAUUUAUGUUUAUUUGUAUUGUAUUUGCAGCUGUUUUGUAAAAGUGAAACUGGUAAAAUAUUUCUUUUACUGUUGCAAGUAGGCACUUUUUCUUUCUUGUAAAGUUUUUGGUCGUUUUGCUUUCUUAUCUUCUGAAGAAAGUUGCAAGGGCUGCUCUGAAGGUAAUGUCUCCUAUUUUAUGACUUUGGCUCACGACAUUAGUGGUGGAUGUUCGUGGUAUGGCAGUAGAGGUUGAACCUUCCCACCAACAUCCUGUCAUAUGUUGUUGCUGUGAGAGAGAUGGCAGCAGAGGGGCAGUCGGACACAAUGGCGUCCAACACUGAAGAGAGGAUGAAGCAAAGAUGUGGCAUUGAAUUCCUCUAUGUGGAAAAAGCUGACACUCAUUGAUGCUUGCUGAAUGUUUUUGGAGAUGAAACAGUGUAUGUCAGCAUGGUGAGAUGGAGGGGUGAUGCGCUUAGGCAUGCCAUGAAAGACAAACCACAUUCUGGGCAGCUAUGUACAGCUGUCAUACCACGUUAUGAAAGUCUCCAUCAGCUCCUCUGCACUAAUUGGUGGAUUAUGACCAGGAAUCUGUGUAUGGAGCUGAAUAUUGGCUGCAGUGCAUUAGAAAUGAUGGUGGCAAUGUUGGAAUAUCACAAAGUUUGCACCUCAUGGGUCCCACAGAUGUUCGCACAGGGACAGAAAGAACACCAUAUGCAAGCUUGUCAGGAUCUACUGAAUCACUGUGAGGCUAAAGGUGACAGUUUUCCUGGAUCACAUCAUUACUGGUGACAAGACGUGGUGUCACCACUACAAGACAGAGUCAAAAUGGCAGACCACAGACUAGUGAUAUGUGAAUUCCCCAUCAAAGAACAAUUUCAAGACAUAGCCCUUACCGAGUAAAGGAAUAUGCACUGUCCUUUGACAUAGGAAAGGGGCAAUUUCUGAAGGAUUUCCUGAAACCCAGACAAAACAUCAACUCUGACUGCUACAUCACAACGUUGACUAAGUGUUGAACUUUCAGAGUCAGCACAAAGAAAAAGGCACCCUUUCUGUUGCAACAUGAUAACACCAGAACCCCAAAACACCAGUUUGAAGGCCAUGGAGUACAUUGCCAAUCUUGGCUGGACUGUCCUACCAUGGCCAUGGUACAGUAUGGAUUUGGCACCUUUCGACUUUCAUCUGUUUGGGCCGGCGAAGGACUGACUGCAUGGGCAACACACAUCCUAGCAAGGGUGUUAUCAUAGCAGCCAUGAAACAGUGGGUCACCUCUGCUGGUGCAAAAAAUGCAUAACUACUGGUGGUGACUGUUGAAAAACAUUGUUUGGUAGCUGAGAAUUUUCUCUAUCUUAUAGUGUUAUUGUUCUCUUUGAAUUGGUUGUAGUUUCCAUGGAAAUAAAUAGGAGGCGUUACUUUCAGUCAUCUACAUAUGUACUAUAUAUUAAUGAAAUAUUUACCUAUGAGAUGGUACACUUGCUUAAAUUUACUGUAUUAUGAAUAGUCACUUGACAGUAGUAGCUGCACAGACUUAAUACUGUGCUUUAUUUGCAAAAUUCAUAUGUGACUCAAAAUUGAUUUAAGCUACAUCACUGGAUCUAAGAAGUAAUGUUGGGAGGAGUGUCUAUCUAUCUAUCUAUCCAUCUAUCUAUCUAUCUAUCUAUCUAUCUAUCUAUCUAUCUAUUUAUAUGAUCUAAUAUUAAUAUUUUGUCUCUUAGUAUCUUCAAGUCACUAUGUUGUUUGUCACACCACUGCCCAACAUUGUACAGUUGCCUACUUUAAUAUUAUUUGCUUCUGGAAAGGGAUAAGAGAAAAGCAUUAAUGAAUCUGCAAAUCUUUACAAUGAAAUCAAGUUGUUAUAUUUAAUUAUUUCUGUGCUUGCUCACUCUUAGUAAAAAGGCUAGAUCAGAUGUUUACUGGACAUUCAGAAUAAGUUAUAAAUGGUGAUUAUCUUGGGCACGAGGACAGGAGGCAGAGAAGGAAAAAGGUGCAAAUUAGUGAGUUCUAGUCAGCUAUUCGAAACAACCAGUGAUGAUACUGUAGGUGAUCAUUUAUUCACCUUGAGAUACAACUGAUUUUAUCUUAGUCUUUGAGUCUGUGGAGAAUCUUAGCAAGCCAAAAGACAGCAAUCAGAACAAACUGAGAAAGAAAGAAAGUUCAGGUUUCUCACAGAAUCUUAAUCGAUCUGCGAGUGUGGCAUCAAACUCACUGUGUCUAAGCCCAUGCAUUUUGGAGAGGAGGACCUGAAAGCACCAUUUUCCCAUUUGAAACCUCUUUGUUUAAGUGUCUCUGAGGUGGAGAACUGACUAAAGUGGGAGCAGAGGAAAUCCAGCAGCUCUUUGAACCGGUGACCUAUAAAAGGUAGGAGACUUUCAGUUCUCUGGAUCUCACCGCCUUUAUUUUCAAGGUGUUUAUGCCCUCACUUGUCUAAUGUAGUGCAAUGAUACCUCAGUCCUGCUGUCUAUCUCCUUAUGAAAAACAAAUCAAAUGAAACAAAAAAUAGUAUGGAGAGCAACAUGGAAUGAAAACGUCUUUGCAAAUAAUAUGUAUAGGUUGUUCAAUCAAUCUGUCCCCAGUCCCUUAUUCUCUAGACUGCUCUUUUCCAAGAUCCUAAAAGAAGCAUAUCAUGCCUAAGAUGAAGGAACAAAAAUAUUUUCUCCAACAUUACAUAAAGAUCAAGUUGUCAAGUGUUAUUUCAAAUGUCUUUGCUGAUGCUUAUCUAUCUUAAAAAAUAUCAAACAGUAAAAAAAAUAAAAUAAUAGUAGAAAUACUCUUUCAUAUAUGGCAUUGACAGCUGUUCAUAAUUCUUUGUUUAUGAGAUGAGAAUAGUGAAAGUGUAAGUGGAGAAAAUAGGAGAUGAACCCAACAGACACUAAUUAUUAUGCAUCAUGACAGGAACUCUGGCAGAUACUCCUGUGAUUCAGGUAGAUCUUGUCAUGUAGAAAGAAUAUUUCCUACCUCUAGCAAGAUUAUACAAAUGACUUCAGAUAGCACCCAAGAAGGGAAGGAAGUACCUGAGAAAUUUGAGUAUUUAGUGUCAUACAGGCAAAGGAUGUUUGUAAUCACCCAUGACAGCAGAACUGGUUGAGCGUUCAUCACGUAUCACCACGCCACGGUCAGGAAAGCUCUGCACUGUGCUUCUCGCACCUUCUGUUACCUCCAGCUACCCAAUUGUGUCACAGUGCCACCUAGCAAUGAUCUGGUUAAAAGCUCAUCUUCAUUUUGCAACAUAUGGAGGAUAUGGUCCUCCGAACACAGAUGUUUGGGACUUCCUUCAAUUUUUAUGAAAAGACUACUUAUCUUAUUUUGUUGCAUUGUUCUAUGAUUAAACAAUUACACAUUUAAAUACUUAUGCGCAGGCAUAGAAAAGUAUGAAAUGUGUUUUGGGAUGUAAUAAAUAUUUGAGAGUGCCUAGUGCAACAAUUAUUCCCCAGAUGUCUGCACGAUUUGCAGUGACUCAUGUGUUUUGCUGAGGUAGACAUAGGUUGGUAAUCUCAAGAAAGAACCUGAUGUCACUGAACAAUUUUGUUGAGAUAGAUGAAGAGACAGUUGUGUAGCUGUUUCCCUCUCUGCUUUGUAUUUACAUAAUUGUUCCAUUUUAAGUUGCCUGGGUUUUAAGAAGACAAAUGUCCAACACUCAAAUGUGAUGCUGAAGUUACACACAUAAUACUAAUUGUUUAAAUUGUCUACUGAAAUGUCCCUAAGAACUUAAUUAGAGUUGCAGCGUUCACCCAGGAAUAUUAACUCCAGCAAACAAUUUCUUCUAAGUCUGUAUAUUCAUUGUUAUUUGCAUCUUAAACUUGCAAUGAAGGAUGGUACUUUCUAAAAAAAAAUAAGUAUAAUCUCCCUGUGAUUUACCUGUCAUGCAAGCAAUGAAAAGAAAAUUUAAAACUCUUUCUUGCAUAAUUUCCUACAAAACUGCAAGAGAAAACAGUCUGCUCUGGAAAAAGAAGCCCUGAAGAGUUGGUUGAAAUAGGGCUUAGGAAUUUAAUUGCUAUUUCGCUUUAUUUGUUUAUUUUUAUUUAUUUCUUUGAGUGUCUGUCAUACCCUGGAGCUAUAUGGCAGAAGCAUGAGGAUAUUUUGAGCCCAAACUGACCUUUUAAAACCUCAUUUUCUCUUCACAGCAAGUAUCAGGAUAUUACUUCAUAUGAGCAUUCUGUGGAGAUGUAAAGAAUGGCAUGUGAACUGAGAGCAUAUACACACAAAUAUAAAUACUGCUUUGCUCCUGCUUUGCUUUGCUCUCUUCAUGGGAGAGAAGAAAUAUACUUCCUGCAAAGACUUUUCAAGUGUACCCCAAUCUGAGGGCUCAUGGCAAGCUCUGUACUUUUUACACACCCUGAAAGGCAAGUGCAGAGAACACAAUGGAAUGAGAUGGAAUGGGAUGGGAAGGGUGAGGAUCGGGUGGCGUGGGGUGGAGUGGGAUGGGAUAGGAUGGGAGCUGCUGUGAGGGAGUCCAGAUCUGAGGUUAUCUGCUCCACACAGCAACUUCUUCUAAUUGCCUUGUACUAAACUGCGCCCUAACCUGAUAAGAUAAUCUCUUUCUAGGUUCAUCUUUGUUUUCACUCCUAUAGCAGGAGAAACGUGGUGAUGUAUUGAGAACGUAGUUUCAUUUUUACCCUCCUGACUAGGCAAAGGACGCUGUGGGUGCUCCAGGUCUGCAGAGAUCCUCAACUGUGGUCAUGUGCUGCAGCCCUUUGCACCAUCUUGCACUGCCUUAUCCACCUCCAAAUGUACUAGGGACUGAGGGCUUGGUAGGCAUUUAUUUUAUCUGAAUGACUGGAGAAGAAGGAAAAGAGCUAACAUUUGAUUUAAAGUAAAAAAAAGAAAGAAAAAAAGAAAAAAGAAAGGGAAGGGAGGGGAAGGGAAGGGAAGGAAAAUAAGGAAAGGAAAGGAAAGGAAAGGAAAGGAAAGGAAAGGAAAGGAAAGGAAAGGAAAGGAAAGGAAAGGAAAGGAAAGGAAAGGAAAGGAAAGGAAAGGAAAGGAAAGGAAAGGAAAGGAAAGGAAAGGAAAGGAAAGGAAAGGAAAGGAAAGGAAAGGAAAGGAAAGGAAAGGAAAGGAAAGGAAAGGAAAGGAAAGGAAAGGAAAGGAAAGGAAAGGAAAGGAAAGGGUAAUGUAGUAAUGUUAAAAAAACAUAUCCUUUUUUUUUUUUUUUUCUGCAGUAAUUUUUGAGUUCAUUCUGUCAUGCCUUCGUUGGUAAGAGAUAUGUCUUAGUAAAAUAAUGUAAAGAAUAUUUCUGUCAAAUUUCUGGCUCUGAAAUUUAACUUCAGGUUGUUUUCCUAAUACCAGUGACCAGCCAAAGAGGUGUUUAUGCUUACUUUAAGCUCAGAAAUAGUUGAAGAUUACCUAUUUCAUAUACCAUUUAGUUCUUAGAGAAUCAUAUUACUCAUACUCUACCAAAAUAUAUAUUUUUAACUAUCGAAUGCUUCUGAAAUUAUUUUAUCUAGGGUAUUGGUUUUUUAAUGUAAGAAUGCUCUUGAACUGAAUAUAGUUGUAGUAAUAAACAGAAUAUUUGUCUUCAACAGUUCUAUAUCUCAGUGUGCUUAAUUUUUAGUAAUACGAUCAGCUGCAGAAUUUGUGCAUGUUUCAAACAAGUUAUCAGGCCUGCUUUCGUAAUUUAUGCCCUGACUACUACAUAGGUCAAUGGACUCUUGACCUCCCACCUACAGUGCUUAUUGCUCCAGAGCAAAGAUCAGAAAUGUCACAAACAGAAUUUAAACAAACAAAAAGCAUAGGAAAGUUCUUGAUACCAGAAACAUUCAAAUUAGUUUUACUACCCAGGGCAACAGCUCCAAGUUCUGGACCAUCAAACAAAGGCCAGCUAGAGGAGCACAAGGCUGCCAACACAUUUUCUUUGAGGCUAUAGCCAGAGCCAAAAGGAAAUAGCCCAGCAAAAUGACAUCACAAGUGGCAGUUUGGUCCUAAGUCCAAUGUACAAACCCUGUAAUGAAUCUCAAAUGACAGAUCACGUCUCAAAUGUCCAUCAUUCAAUCUCCACUCAGUGGGCUAUUUAGGAUGUGAAGAGCUGCAACUGAUGGGAAAAAACCAAAAACAAAACAAAACAAAAAAAAAAAAAACCAAUCAUUAUACAAGCAGAUUUAUUGCUGUGAAAAUGCUUAGGUUUUUCUGACUCUAGCCAAACUGAUCUCUUGCUCAUCUGAAAAAUGGGUUAUAAAAAGUGUUCUAAUAACAGCAAAUCAGAUAGGGGGUGAGUUUGAAGGCAUAUAGUUACAAUGGAUAAUAAACUAAGCCUGCCACAGAGAUUGUUUUUAGCGCUGUCAGAUUUCUGCCAUUCUCUCUAUUAUGCCAAUAGUGGAUGCAACAAAAACUCUGUGCUAGACAACUGGCAAGUGCAAAUC
ensembl:lncRNA